rnacentral:rRNA from 1 species
CUGCGAAUGGCUCAUUAAAUCAGUUAUCGUUUAUUUGAUAGUACCUUACUACAUGGAUAACCGUGGUAAUUCUAGAGCUAAUACAUGCUGAAAACCCCGACUUCGGAAGGGGUGUAUUUAUUAGAUUAAAAACCAAUGCCCUUCGGGGCUCACUGGUGAUUCAUGAUAACUUCUCGAAUCGCACGGCCUUGCGCCGGCGAUGGUUCAUUCAAAUUUCUGCCCUAUCAACUUUCGACGGCUGGGUCUUGGCCAGCCGUGGUGACAACGGGUAACGGAGGGUUAGGGCUCGACCCCGGAGAAAACGCCUGAAAAACGGCGUUUACAUCCAAGGAAGGCAGCAGGCGCGCAAAUUACCCAAUGCCGACACGGCGAGGUAGUGACGAGAAAUACUGAUACAGGGCUCUUUUGGGUCUUGUAAUUGGAAUGAGUACAAUUUAAAUCUCUUAACGAGGAACAAUUG